UAAAAAUAAACAAACAAACCCAACACAAUUCGAAAUUUUAAUUAAUUAUAUGGAAACACAUUCGGAACUUUCCAAAGGACAACUGAAAACUGUGAACGUGAAAAAUGCUGCAAAUAAUUUAUGGAAAGAGUUGGUAUGUGACCUUAAUGUUGCGGGGCCACCAUCGCGCGAUGUUUUAAAAUGGAAAAAGGUUUGGUCGGAUUAUAAAACCCAUUUGAAAGCAAAAAUGCGGCGGAACAAACUAAGUAUCUCUGGAACUGGGGUGGUGGUCCCCCAACUCAUUGCUCCUUAACACCGUUGGAGGAGCAAGUUAGUGAGCUUCUGGCAAUGGAAAUAUCCGCCAGUGGAAUAAGCGGCACCUUAGAAUUUGGUGCAGCAAAGUUAAUGCAACCAAGUGGGUCAGACAUCACAACCGACGAAUUCCGACAGAAUGAACCAACGCCAGUGGAUGAAAUGCCACAUUGUUCACGUCAAAGAGUCGCUCCGCAGAAGAAAGAGAGCCUUUUAAAUAAGCAGGUGGAUAA